ACUCCUACGGGAGGCAGCAGUGGGGAAUCUAGGACAAUGGGCGCAAGCCUGGUCCAGCCAUGCCGCGUGAGUGAUGAAGGCCCUAGGGUUGUAAAGCUCUUUCACCGGUGAAGAUAAUGACGGUAACCGGAGAAGAAGCCCCGGCUAACUUCGUGCCAGCAGCCGCGGUAAU
rnacentral:rRNA from 1 species